rnacentral:rRNA from 1 species
AACCUGGUUGAUCCUGCCAGUAGUCAUAUGCUUGUCUCAAAGACUAAGCCAUGCAUGUCUAAGUAUAAGUAUUAUACAGCGAAACUGCGAAUGGCUCAUUAAAACAGUUAUAAUUAAUUUGAUAAUCGAAUUUACAUGGAUAACCGUGGUAAUUCUAGAGCUAAUACAUGCUGGUAGGCCCGACUUUUUGGAAGGGCGGUAUUUAUUAGAUAACAAACCAAUAUUCCUCUGGUCUAUUGUGGUGAAUCAUAAUAACUGAUCGAAUCGCAAGGUUUUUAACCGCGAUAAGUCAUUCAAGUUUCUGCCCCAUCAGCUUUCGAUGGUAGUGUAUUGGACUACCAUGGCUUUUACGGGUAACGGAGGAUUAGGGUUCGAUUCCGGAAAGGGAGCCUGAGAAACGGCUACCACAUCUAAGGAAGGCAGCA